GAUGAACGCUGGCGGCGUGCCUAAUACAUGCAAGUCGAGCGAACAGAUGAGGAGCUUGCUCCUCUGACGUUAGCGGCGGACGGGUGAGUAACACGUGGAUAACCUACCUAUAAGACUGGGAUAACUUCGGGAAACCGGAGCUAAUACCGGAUAAUAUAUUGAACCGCAUGGUUCAAUAGUGAAAGACGGUUUUCCUGUCACUUAUAGAUGGAUCCGCGCCGCAUUAGCUAGUUGGUAAGGUAACGGCUUACCAAGGCAACGAUGCGUAGCCGACCUGAGAGGGUGAUCGGCCACACUGGAACUGAGACACGGUCCAGACUCCUACGGGAGGCAGCAGUAGGGAAUCUUCCGCAAUGGGCGAAAGCUUGACGGAGCAACGCCGCGUGAGUGAUGAAGGUCUUCGGAUCGUAAAACUCUGUUAUUAGGGAAGAACAAAUGUGUAAGUAACUAUGCACGUCUUGACGGUACCUAAUCAGAAAGCCACGGCUAACUACGUG
rnacentral:rRNA from 1 species